GACAAGCAUACAAAGAAAAAUGUCUUAGUCAACGAUCCAAAUGUCUUAAUAAUACGCUAAGCAAAGCAUACAAAUGUAAUAAUAACCAUGAGAAGCGUACGAAGCAAAUUGUCUUAAAGCAUACAAAGCAAAAUGUCUUAAUACACUAAGCAAAGCAUACAAAUGUAAUAAUAACCAUGAGAAAGCAUACGAAGCAAAAUGUCGUAUUUAACGAUCCAAAUGUCUUAAUAGUCUAAGCACAGCAUACAAAUGUAAUAGUAACCAGUUUGCUGAUAAUAAAAAAAUACGAAGAAUUGAAGAA